rnacentral:rRNA from 1 species
UACGGCCAGAUCUCAUUAAAUCACUAGUUCCCAUACGGUCACCGAAGUUAAGCAAUGUUGAUCCUGGUCAGUACCUAGAUGUGUGACCGCUUGGGAAUACCAGGUGCUGUAAG